GUUGGAUGUGGUGGUGCACAACUGUGAUCCCAGACACUCAGGAGGCUGAGGCAGGAGGAUCGCAAGUUCAAGACCAGCCUCAACAACUUAGUGAGACCCUGUCUCAA
rnacentral:sRNA from 1 species